AAUUUUUUUCCAUCCAUCGGUAUCCAAAUGCAAAUCCAAUGAAGGGUAAAUGGUAAAAGGAGGCAGCUCUCUCUCAAUGAUAUCCUGUCUGACUUCACAUUCAGCGUUUGUUCAUCUUUCUCGGAGAGCAUUUCUUCAAAGGAAAGCUCUCCCAACCAGAAAAUCAUAGAAAUUAAAUAUACAUAUAAUUCAAUCUCUUCUUCCACACUCCAGGAAAACAAUAAAAAACAAAAAGAGGAGGGAGGGACAAGAGAGAAAAUAAGGAGAGAUGGGAAGGGCAUUUGUUUAUGUUAUUCUGGGAGGAGGGGUGGCUGCUGGGUAUGCAGCUCUUGAAUUCACCAAGAGAGGCAUCUCCCAUGGUGAACUCUGCAUCAUUUCUGAAGAAUCAGUUCCACCUUAUGAGAGACCUGCUUUAAGCAAAGGCUUUCUACUUCCAGAAGCGCCUGCACGCCUUCCAUCGUUUCAUACUUGUGUUGGUGCUAAUGAGGAAAGGUUAACUCCAGAGUGGUAUAAGGAGCAUGGGAUCGAAUUAGUUAUCGGAACUCAAGUGAAGUCUGUUGAUGUGAGACGCAAGACACUACUGGCAGGAUCUGGAGAGACUAUAAGUUACAAAGUUCUCAUCAUUGCAACAGGGGCUCGGGCACUGAAGCUGGAAGAAUUUGGAGUCAAGGGAUCAGAUUCUGGAAAUGUGUGUUAUUUACGAGAUUUGGCUGAUGCCAAUAGACUUGUAGACUUGAUGGAAUCUUCGUCUGGCGGGAAUGCUAUUGUCAUUGGUGGUGGCUACAUUGGAAUGGAGUGUGCUGCAUCAUUAGUGAUCAAUAGGAUGAAUGUAACGAUGGUUUUUCCAGAAGAACAUUGCAUGGCCCGAUUAUUCACACCCAAGAUCGCAAGUUUUUAUGAAGAAUUUUACAAAUCCAAAGGAGUGAAGUUUGUUUAAGGAACCAUUUUGUCCUUGUUUGACAUUGCCUCGAACAGGAAGGUGACUGCUGUUAAUCUUAGAGAUGGAAGUAGUCUUCCUGCAGACGUGGUUGUUGUGGGAAUAGGAAUCCGUCCAAACAAGAGCCUGUUUGAAGGUCAACUAACGCUGGAGAAAGGUGGGAUCAAAGUGAAUGGAAAGAUGCAGUCAAGUAAUAGCUCAGUCUAUGCAGUGGGAGAUGUUGCCACAUUUCCAGUAAAAGUAUUUGGUGAGUCCCGAAGGCUUGAACACGUUGACUCAGCAAGAAAAUCCGCAAGGCACGCUGUUACUGCAAUUAUGGAACGAAACCAAGUUGAUGAAUUCGACUAUCUACCAUUCUUUUACUCGAGAAUCUUCACCCUGUCUUGGCAGUUUUACGGGGACAAUGCAGGAGAUGUAGUCCAUUUCGGAGACUUCUCAGGAGGCACAUUCGGGGCUUAUUGGGUAAGAAAGGGUCAACUUGUCGGGUCUUUUCUCGAAGGCGGAACCAAGGAAGAGUAUGAAGCUAUAGCCAAGGCCACCAGGCAGAAGCCAGAAGUUGAGGACCUAGCCGAGUUGGAAAGGCAAGGUUUGGGUUUCGCAUUGACAGUUAGCCAGAAACCACAGCCAUCAUCACCACCCCAUGAUGUUACAAGUUCUGGCAUCGUUCAGGAGAGGCCAAUGUACACUUUUCAUGCAACUGUCGGCGUUGUUGUGGCUGCAUCGAUAGCAGCGCUCGCGUAUUGGUACGGAAGGAAGCGCCGGAGGUGGUGAGCAGAUGUUUGGGGGCUGUACCAUAACCGUGUUGUUGUGUGGCAUUGAUAGGUGUAAGUGAUUGGGAGGUGCUUCAAAUAUUUGAUCAUAUAUAUUGAGGAAGCAAAACUGUAGUUGAAAAUAAUGAAUGAAAUACAAAGAAUUAUAUGCAUACCUGUA